UACAGAGGGUGCAAGCGUUAUUCGGAAUCACUGGGCGUAAAGAGUUCGUAGGCGGAAUGUUAAGUCUGAUGUGAAAGCCCUGGGCUCAAUCCAGGAAGUGCAUUGGAUACUGGCAAACUAGAGUGUGGGAGAGGAGAGUGGAAUUCCAGGUGUAGAGGUGAAAUUCGUAGAUAUCUGGAGGAACAACGGAAGCGAAGGCGACUCUCUGGACCAUUACUGACGCUGAGGAACGAAAGCGUGGGGAGCAAAC
rnacentral:rRNA from 1 species